rnacentral:tRNA from 1 species
GGAGAGGUGCCCGAGCGGCUGAAGGGGCCGGUUUCGAAAACCGGUGUGCGGUUUCCACCGUACCGCGGGUUCGAAUCCCGCCCUCUCCG